GCGGAAGUAGCUCCGUGGUAGAGCAUCGCCUUGCCAAGGCGAGGGUCGCGAGUUCGAAUCUCGUUUUCCGCUCCA
rnacentral:tRNA from 1 species